AACGAACGCUGGCGGCAGGCCUAACACAUGCAAGUCGAGCGGACCCUUCGGGGUUAGCGGCGGACGGGUGAGUAACGCGUGGGAAUAUGCCCUUCUCUACGGAAUAGUCCUGGGAAACUGGGGGUAAUACCGUAUACGCCCUUUGGGGGAAAGAUUUAUCGGGGAAGGAUUAGCCCGCGUUGGAUUGGGUAGUUGGUGGGGUAAUGGCCUACCAAGCCGACGAUCCAUAGCUGGUUUGAGAGGAUGAUCAGCCACACUGGGACUGAGACACGGCCCAGACUCCUACGGGAGGCAGCAGUGGGGAAUCUUAGACAAUGGGGGCAACCCUGAUCUAGCCAUGCCGCGUGAGUGAUGAAGGCCUUAGGGUUGUAAAGCUCUUUCAGCUGGGAAGAUAAUGACGGUACCAGCAGAAGAAGCCCCGGCUAACUCCGUG
rnacentral:rRNA from 1 species